CGAGAACUCGGCAAAUUGACACCGUAACUUCGGGAUAAGGUGUGCCAGAGGUAGGUGAAGGGCUUGCGCCUGGAGCCGAUUCUGGUUGCAACAAAGCGGCGGUAGCGACUGUUUACUAAAAACACAGGGCUCUGCGAAACCGUAAGGUGACGUAUAGGGCCUGACGCCUGCCCGGUGCCGGAAGGUUAAGGGGAGUUGUCAGCGCAAGCGAAGCGACGAACUGAAGCCCCGGUAAACGGCGGCCGUAACAAUAACGGUCCUAAGGUAGCGAAAUUCCUUGUCGGGUAAGUUCCGACCUGCACGAAGGCGUAACGACUUCCGCGCUGUCUCGACCUGGGACUCGGCGAAAUCGACAUGGGGGUGAAGAUGCCCUCUACCCGCGGCAAGACGGAAAGACCCUGUGAACCUUUACUGUAGCUUGGCAGUGGUAUUCGGUUCAUUCUGUGUAGGAUAGGUGGGAGCCUAUGAGUCGGGCACGCUAGUGUCCGAGGAGGCACCGUUGAAAUACCACCCUGGAUGUGCUGGAUACCUAACCCCUUCGGGGGGACACUGCCUGGUAGGCAGUUUGACUGGGGCGGUCGCCUCCUAAAGAGUAACGGAGGCGCGCAAAGGUUCCCUCAGCCAGAUCGGAAACCUGGCGAAGAGUGUAAUCGUAUAAGGGAGCUUGACUGCAAGACCGACAGGUCAAGCAGGUGCGAAAGCAGGCGAUAGUGAUCCGGUGGUUCCACGUGGACGGGCCAUCGCUCAUCGAAUAAAAGGUACUCCGGGGAUAACAGGCUUAUCGCGCCCAAGAGUUCAUAUCGACGGCGCGGUUUGGCACCUCGAUGUCGGCUCAUCGCAUCCUGGGGCUGGAGCAGGUCCCAAGGGUAUGGCUGUUCGCCAUUUAAAGCGGUACGCGAGCUGGGUUUAGAACGUCGUGAGACAGUUCGGUCCCUAUCUGCCGUGGGCGUAGGAAGGUUGAGAGGAGCUGUCCUUAGUACGAGAGGACCGGGAUGGACGUACCUCUGGUGUUCCAGUUGUCGUGCCAACGGCAUUGCUGGGUAGCCACGUACGGUCGGAAUAACCGCUGAAAGCAUCUAAGUGGGAAAUCCUCCUCGAGAUGAGCCUUCCCUGAAGGACUCAGAAAGACUAUCUGGUUGAUAGGCCGGAGGUGCAGGCCCAGCAAUGGGUACAGCUUACCGGUACUAAUCGUCCGAUCGGCUCU
rnacentral:rRNA from 1 species